UGCCAAGAUUGAAUUCUAUCUACAAGUUCGAGUUCUACCCUUUCUACCAUCAUUCUACAACUUACAACCAUUCCUGUUAGCUUUGUACAAUUUUGUGUUUUACAACUCCAAAAGUACCAAGUUCUACAUACAGAUUCUGGAGCAAGUGUCAUUGAAUAAACAAGAAAUUGCAGUUUUAUGUUGUACAGCAUUCAGCAACAUCAAUAAUAUGUCAUUAUUAUCACAGUAUCUUUACAUCAAUUCAGUAUAUAUAGUGAUUUUUUUUUCUAAAAUAAUAAUAAUAAGUAGAAGGUAUAUGCAACAAUCGGCAAUGCAACCCUGCGUAAAGGAUUCUCAUAACCUAUAUCUUCUUGUUGUCAUUGAUGCUGCUGUUGCUGCUGCAGACUGAUUAACUUAAAAUAAGCACCAUCUUUGUUCUCAAGAAGACUUGAAUGAGUCCCUUCCUCUAUUAUCUUCCCACCUUGUAUUACUGAUAUUUGAUCUGCAUUCUUUAUAGUUGAUAGCCUAUGCGCCACCAUGACUGUGGUGCGGUUCCUCAUCAAUCUGUCUAGAGCUUGUUGCACAACACGCUCUGACUCCACAUCUAGAGCACUAGUGGCUUCAUCUAAAAGCAGGAUUUCUGGGUUCGUUAGAACUGCUCGAGCAAUAGCCACCCUUUGUUUCUGGCCACCGGAUAGUUGCACCCCUCGCUCGCCUACUUUGGUUAAGUAGCCAUCAGGAAGGGAACUAAUGAAGUUAUGAGCAUUUGCAAGUUUAGCUGCUUCAACCACUUCUCCUUCAGACGCUCCUUCUUUCCCAUAUAAGAUGUUUUCGUAGAUUGAAGUGGCAAAAAGAGCCGGCUCUUGUUGAACUAAGCCAAUGUGUUUUCUGAGAGAUUUCAGCUUAAGUUUCUUGAUAUCAAUGCCAUCAAUCAUCACUUUUCCUGCUGUUGGAUCGUAGAAUCUCAAUAUAAGAGAAAGAACAGAGCUUUUGCCAGAACCACUUUGCCCAACUAAAGCCACAUUCUUGCCUGCACGCACUCUUAGAUCAAAGUCCUUGAAAAUUGAUACAUCUGGCCUGGAUGGAUAGCUAAAUUCUACCCCUCUGAGCUCAAUAUUACCCUCCACAUUUUUCAACUCUUCUCCAGUAUCCCCUAUUAUAUUUGUCUUGCGGUCCAGCAGCUCAAAGACAGAUGCUACCAUUUGAUUCCCUUUUAAAAGAUCUGGGGCCAUUGCCAGAGUUUCACCCAUGGCUAAUGCAGUAACAAUCAAAACCAUAAACGACUUCAUUACAGAUUUAAAGCCAGCAAGCUCCCUCCCCAUCAAAACAGAACCAUACCACAAGGCAAGCCCAUAAGAUGAGAAGAUGAAGAACUGGGACACUCCAUAGAAUAUGCCAGCAAUUUGACCACGAGUAAAUGAGCGCUGCGAAGGUUCCACCAGCUCACGGGAAUAAAGAUCCAGGACCUUUUCUUCUGCACAAAAAGCUGCAACAGUGCGGAUGUUGCUAACAGCCUCACCGGCCAGCAUAUUAGCCUUUAGAUAUGCUUUGCUCAAGUUUCCACCAUAGCCUUUCAUGAAGAGUUUCUGAAUUCACAGGAAUUAUUAUUGAUGUUGCACAAGGGAAAAAAAAUUGAAUUUAGAUUAUAGGAAAGAAAGGAAACCUCGCUGAUGUGACCACUUAUGACCAAUGGAUAAGUGGCUAUGACAACAAGUGUGAUCCUCCAGUUUAAGAUGAAAGCAAUGAUGAAUGAGGUGACAACAAGGCCAACAUUCUGUAACAGAAUUGUUGUGCGAUCAACGACUAUAUUUCGUAAUAAAGUUGCAUCACUCUCUAGACGUGAUGCGAGCAUAGAACUUGCGUUAUUCAAGUCAUCAAACCAUCCAAUCUCAUUCUUCAAAAUGGCUGAAAACAUCUUUUCCCUGACACGGAAAGUGAGCCGCUCACCCAUGAUUCCAAAGGAGAGAUGCUCAAUGGAAUAGAUAAUGAUAGUUAUUACUGAACCACAGCAGAACAAGAUUGAAAUCUUUUUGACCUCAUGGCGCGUAGUGUCCCAGUCCAUGUAAUACGAAACAAGAGCCUGAGAGACUCCAAGUGCGAAAAGUGGCAUCUGUGCUCCAGCAAUAAACGCACAAAAGGUACCUAAUACUCCAUAAGCCCAAUCAGGGCCAACCAUUGAAUAGAGUCUUUUAGCUGAAACAUGCCUUGGCUUUGCAGGUUCCAUUGCAUCAGCACCAGCACGACUAACUGAAUCUUUUUCAGAGUGAAAACUUGCACCAAAGCUUGAUCUUCUGUGGGAUAAUUCUCGAGAAUACCUUAUGCUGAGAGGCCGUCCCAUGGUAGGACCUAUGGAGGAUUGGCGUUGAAAGGAAGCAGCCUCCUGGAGAUGAAUGAGUGAUGCAUAAGCACUAUUUUGGUUAGAGAUGAGCUCCUCGUGGCUCCCAAUUUCCACUAUCUUCCCUUCCUGAACAACAGCAAUCACAUCUGCAUUCCUGAUGGUAGAAAGCCGAUGGGCAACAACUACAGUUGUUCUUCCCACCAUAACACGAUCAAGUGCCUCUUGCACACUCUUCUCAGACUCUGCAUCAAGUGCACUUGUAGCUUCAUCUAGCAAAAGAAUCGAUGGAUUCUUCACUAUAGCACGUGAUAUUGCAAUCCUUUGCUUUUGUCCACCUGAUAGCUGUAUUCCCCUCUCACCAACCUGAGUUUCAAAUCUGUCAGGGAGGUUGUUGAUAAAAGACAUAGCUUCUGAGAGUUUAGCAGAAUUUACUAUCUCAUCAAGGGUUGCAUCAUCUUUUCCAUAGAGAAUGUUCUCCCUUAUGCUCGUCGCAAAAAGGGCAGGCUCCUGAUUAACUAGUCCAAUUUGUUGCCUGAGCCACUUAAGGUCUAGGUGCCUGAUAUCAUUCCCAUCUAGCAAUAUUUGUCCAGAAAGAGGUUCAUAGAAGCGUUCAAUCAAAGAUAUAACCGUGCUCUUUCCAGAGCCACUGCCUCCAACAAGAGCUACAAUCUUCCCAGAAGGGAAGUCAAGGCAGAGUUCAUCAAAGAUCAUUACAUCAGGACGUGAUGGGUAGCUAAAAGACACAUUCUUGAAUUCUAUGUGUCCCUCCAAUUUAUCUAGCUUCUGGGCAGUUUUUGAGCUGGUUUUCGUCAUUGUGUUCCUUUCUAUCAUCUCAAAAAUGGGGUAUGCUGCUGCCUUAGCUCGCACAAAGGCAGAUAUGUCUGGUGCUGCCUGUCCUAGUGACAGGCCAGCAAUAACCACGUUGAGCAUGGUGGUGAAAGAUUCACCACCAUUCGCAAUGUCCUUAUGAACAACUAUGCUAGUGAACCAAACAAGCAAUGCCCAUGAAAGGAAAAGGACACUGUGCAGGGUCCCUAGCCCUAGACCCUUUGCUAGUCCUGCUUUUCUUCCGUACUGGUAUGUAUUUCUUAGAGCUUCUUUAUAAGAUCCUACAGCCCUUUCUUCUCCCGCAAAUGCUUGCACUGUUCUAACGUUAGCAAUCACCUCCUCAGCGAUUUCACCAGCCUUGACGUAAGAUUUACGCACUCUAGCAAUAAGGCCGAUUGUGACAAAGGCAUAGCAACCGCCAGCAAGAGCAAUUAAAGGGACUAUAGACAAGGUUACUAAACUGAUUUGCCACACCCUCACGAACCCAAUGGUGAAGCCACAUAGAAAUCGGCUUAUGUAAUGCAUGAAGUUCCCUACCUUUUCGGAGAUGGCAUCUUGCACCACAAUAAUAUCACUUGUAAUUGCAGCUAUGACCUCUCCAGUAGAGGCUUCAGUGUCAAAUAAACUUAUAUCUUGAUUAAGCAUAGACCUUAGAUAUGCCAUUCUCAUCCUUGCUGCCUGCCUUUCUCCAGUAUGCAUCCAGCAUGCCACCUCUAUCCAUGAUGAAAAUAAUAUAACGAUACUGAGGUACACAAAAUCCAGUGAGUACUUAGCAACUUUGUGGGAAGCCUGCUGGGGAAAAAGAUAAGCCAAGCCAAUGAUAUUAAUCAACUUGCCAAAGAAAAUGAAGAACACAGGCACCGAAGCUCCAUGAACACAAGCACCAAGGGAUCCCAAACCCAUCAAAACAUAGUCGUAGAAAUCUGCAAAUGCAAAUAGUUUCAGCAAUGGAACUCUAUUUUGCUUUUUUCUUUCUUCUUCUUCUUCUUCUCUUUUCUAGACAGUGAUCUUAGUCUGACUUUAUGAUGGAGGCAAAAUCACUACCCUUCAUAACCCACCAAUCCUUCUUCUCGGCCGUGCGAUCAGGCGACCUUCACUCUCUGAAAGAGAUUGUGGAGAAGUUGACAAAAGAUGAGCCGUCCGAUGGGUCCUCUCCUGUGUCUGAUCUAAUGGCUGCGCAAACUAUUGCAGGGGAGCCUGCGUUGUAUAUAGCUGCAGAUAAUAAUUUGGAAGAGGUUUUUAGCUAUUUGAUCAACUUUUAUGAUGUGGAAGCUGUCAAGAUCAGGGCUAAGUCUGGGAUGGAUGCUUUCCAUGUUGCAGCUAAGAAGGGUCAUUUGGGUAUUGUGAAAAAACUUUUGAGCAUUUGGCCUGAGCUUUGCAAGUUCUGUGACUCCUCAAAUACUAGCCCCCUUUACUCAGCAGCUGUUCAAGAUCAUUUGGAUGUGGUGAAUGCAAUCUUGGAUGUUGAUGUCAGUUCAGUAAGGAUAGUGAGGAAAAAUGGGAAAACCGCAUUGCACACAGCUGCUAGGUAUGGCCUUGUUCGAAUCGUAAAAGCAUUAAUAGACCGUGAUCCAGGAAUUGUCUGCAUCAAAGAUAAGAAAGGCCAAACUGCUCUCCAUAUGGCUGUAAAGGGCCAGAGCAUUGCUGUAGUUGAGGACAUAUUAUUGGCUGAUUCUUCAAUACUAAAUGAGCGUGACAAGAAGGGUAACACGGCAGUACAUAUAGCCACAAGGAAAUCUCGUUCACUGAUUGUAAGCCUUCUGCUAAGCUACGUAUAUGUUGAUGUCAAUGCCAUCAAUAAUCAGCGUGAAACUGCAAUGGAUUUGGCUGAUAAACUCCAAUAUGGAGAACCAGCAUUGGAAAUCAAGGAAGCUCUCACAGAGGCUGGUGCCAAGCAUGCUAGGUAUGUUGGACAAGUGGAUGAAGCAAUGGAGCUUAAGAGGACUGUGAGUGAUAUAAAGCAUGAGGUGCACUCACAACUCAUACAAAAUGAAAAAACUAACAGAAGGGUUUCUGGUAUUGCAAAAGAACUAAGGAAACUUCACAGAGAGGCUGUCCAAAAUACCACCAACUCUGUAACUGUUGUUGCUGUUCUUUUUGCUUCUAUUGCCUUCUUGGCUAUAUUCAACUUGCCUGGGCAAUAUAUAACAGAUGGAAGUGAAGCAGGGAAGGCUAAGAUAGCUGAUAAUGUUGGUUUCCAAGUUUUUUGCCUUCUAAAUGCAACAUCUCUCUUUAUAUCUCUAGCCGUUGUCGUGGUUCAGAUCACUUUGGUGGCCUGGGACACUACAGCUCAGAAACAGGUUGUAUCAGUUGUUAACAAACUGAUGUGGGCUGCCUGUGCUUGCACGUGUGGGUCUUUUCUUUCUGUAGCUUUUGUGAUAGUGGGAAAAGGCAGUUCGUGGAUGGCUAUAACAAUAACCUUAAUGGGGGCACCAAUUCUUGUUGGGACACUUGCAAGUAUGGGCUACUUUGUUUUCCGCCAACAUUUUGGAGUUUUUAAAGAUUCCCAGAGACGCAUAAAAAGGGCCAGUGGAAGUAAGUCUUUCUCAUGGUCUCUGUACUCGGCAAACAUAUCAGAUAUUGAAGACUACAACUCUGAUAUGGAGAAGAUAUAUGCUUUGUGAACACUGCAUUAGCCUCUCCUAUUAUGAUCUCUUUGCUGUUGAUAUUCGCAAUCAACUAUGCUUUUUCCCAGCCAAAGAAGAAGGAAAAAAAAAAAAA
rnacentral:misc_RNA from 1 species